rnacentral:rRNA from 1 species
UACGUAGGGGGCGAGCGUUGUCCGGAUUUAUUGGGCGUAAAGAGCUCGUGGGCGGUUUGUCGCGUCGACUGUGAAAACCCGAGGCUUAACCUCGGGCCUGCAGUCGAUACGGGCAGACUAGAGUUCGGUAGGGGAGACUGGAAUUCCUGGUGUAGCGGUGAAAUGCGCAGAUAUCAGGAGGAACACCGGUGGCGAAGGCGGGUCUCUGGGCCGAUACUGACGCUGAGGAGCGAAAGCGUGGGGAGCGAACAGG